ACAGUUAGUUGAGUAUCCCAGUUGUGAAUAAGGUUGUUUGGGAUUUACCGGUAUUAUUAAAAUGAUUCACAAAACUGCGUUGUUUUAUGUACUUCGGGUCAUAAUAUGAAAUUCAGUAACAGAAUUUAUAAAUUGAAGUUCAUAUAAGUUUAGUAUGACUUGUAUAACCGCAGUUUUGUUUCUGUAGAUAGCUUCUUAUGCGCGAAUGUUACAUAGUACUGUGCUCAGGAAAGUAUGAGUCUAUAUAGUGCACAACGUGAGUGAUGAGUGUGCCCCUUUUUGCCAUCCGUUGUGUAGUUGGCGUGUAUGAUGCUCUUUUUGUUUAGGUCGUUCGCGUGUCUUGUUUACAAUAUGGCUCGAAGUUGUUUGUGGUGGAGGUGGGGGGGGAGUGGUGGUAUGUAGGUGUAGUAGAGAUGAUGUGUGUAUUGUAGAUUGCGAUGAUGCGCAUCCGCCUUUACCAGAACUUCACAUGUAAUGUUUUUUGUUUAAUCUGAAUUCUGUUGUCUCUAAUUCUAGUGUAGCCCGAGUUCUGGAGUCAACGGAAGCGUCAGAUUCCACCCGUCUGGUUUGACCCGUGACGUUAUGGAUGUUGUGGUCUGUGACAUUACGGCGCUGAGUUUAGUUUGAGUUGGUUGUUUGUAGAUGUCUUCUUGUGUUUGAUGGUUCCCUCUGGUGAUGUGUGUAUGUAUGUGCGUUGUCUUAUGUGGUGUAUUGGGUUUAUUUGAACUUUGGUUUUGGAAGAGCGGAGUUGUUGGCAUUGUUCAUGACGUAAGGAUUGAAAUUGUUUUCAGUGAGUUAUUAGUUUUAUUGUGUUCUGUUUACGUGUCAGCGUUUUUGAUACGUUUUAUUGGUUUGCUGUUUGUGGUGCGGUAAGACGUUUAAUUUAUUGCAUGGAUUCUCUUUUUAGGUGUGAAUAUGAUGAUAAACUGAAAUAGCACCAUGUUGCGGGCGGAGAUGGGAGAGGAUAUGUUGUCCUCGAUUAAGUUCCUGCAGGUGUUUGGAUUAAUAGCGGAAAUUGUGAAGUGUGGCGUUUUGCCGAGAGUAUAUGCGGUUGGCGAUAGUUCCGGCGUCUCGGACCACUGACGUGUACAUGUGUUGGUGUUGGAAGGACAAUGUUUGGAGCUCCUGUAGACGCGGUACCUGGUUCGAGAAAUCUAGGUAUGUCACAUGGAGCACUUAACUAAACAAACUUCAUUCUCAGCUAGAGUUUGAUGCAAGCUAUCGAACUGUUCACCAUUCCACCGCCUUACAGAACCACCCACUGUAACUGUUUUGAAGCCAUAGUUGCUUGCACCAUUCUCCCAGAGGUGGACUUGGGGAUGUAUUUGGGGGAGGAGUGAAACAGUCGGUCAGAACUAGUCGUACAGCGAAAAUUUGAGGGAGCCAUCUGGAGGUGGCAUUGAGGCAGCAACACCAUACAUCACAACCUGUCCGUGAUGCGUCCGGCGCCAUCACCACAUACAGUUCAAUUUUUGGCUACCCUCACCACAUGUGGGGGUAUCAGUGACUCCGUAGCAGCAUCCGUGCCCAUCGUGGAUGCCGUCCAUGUGUGUUGGACCAUCACAGGUGCAUUGGUCAUACAAUUUUGAUGCAAAAGUGAACCUGAAAACAUGAUAAAACGUGGACGCCUCUGGAGAAAGCUCAGUGUGUGUGGCCCGGUAGAUACAGACGAUACCUGAUGACCAAAUGCAACGAACCUUUCAGACUUGGAAUACAUCAUUUAUGGAAACAGGUCAUGCAAUUUUGAUGCGAAAUGGAACCUGAAAACCUGAAAAAAUGUGGAUGCUACUGGAUAAAGCUCAGUGUGUGUGGCCUGGUAGAUACAGACGAUAUCAGAUACCCAAGUGCAAUGAUCCUUUCGGACUUGGAAUACAUCAUUUAUGGAAACAGCUAUGGAAUGGAAUAAAAAGAGCUUUCAAGUUAUAAUUGAAGAAUACAGCAAGAAAAGGUCUCUCUAUGACCUAACAGGUACUUUGUACCACAAUAAGGCAAUCUACAUAUCUACAAAUGUUUGAUUCUGAGAUUAUACAAGCUGUAUUAUUUCAGCACGCCAGGAAGGAAAGCUUGGCCAGAAUAGGAGAAAAAGUGAGAAAAGUUGUGUCUGGUGUGACGAACGAGGAAUGUGAAGCAUGCUUAGCCUCCUUACGUUUGCAUUAUUCAGCUGAACUCAAAAAGAUGUGGGGAAAAAUGCGCAGUAGCUCAGGCGGGACCACCCGUAAACCAAGCGUGUGGUGGUUUGACCUAUUGGCAUAUUUGAAAGACCACAUUAUGCAUAGAAAACUGCUGACAGAUAUCCCACUCUCUGUCUACUCAAGAGACAUUUACAGUGGGGUGUGCAGUUGAGAACAGUUCUCCAUCUACCCCUCAGUGCUCACCAGAAUUAUCCAAAGUGGGGCACUAUGCCACUUCCAAGAAGCAGGCCAAAGAUGUCCUGGUAAGCAGCACAUUGUCAAUGCUGCGAGGCAAACAAACAGCAAUGAGGAUGGCAAGUUGGGCCAGUAUGUUGCAGCUGAGCUGAUUACAACUAAAAAUAGAAAAUUGAAGGCAGAGACAAAGUGCCUUAUCACGAAUGUCAUCAUGGGUGCAAUUCAGAAAGUUACUGAUUGUUAAUUUUUAAAUAAAAGAUUGAAAAUUAAAAA